GCUCCUGCUCUGUCCCCUCCUCCUCUCUCCUCCCCCCUUUCUCUUUGCAUGCUCAUGGCUGGCCUCUACUUCUCUCUCUCUCUCUCUCUCUCUCUCUCUCUCUCUCUCUCUCUCUCUCUCUCUCUCUCUCUCUCUCUCUCUCUCUCUCCCCCCCACCCCACCCCAUACUCUGUCUCUACUACCCUCUCAAUUCCCCUCCCCAUGUCCUGAGUAAACUAUUUUAUACUGUGCUAUGGUGAGGCUGGUCCCUCAGCAGGAAGGGAUGUCUCACCAUUGGCCCUUGGAGGCACCCCUUCUCCCACACCUUACUGCACCUCCACCAAACAUAUUCCUUCUCUCCUUAUCUUUAUAUAAAACACAACACUGGACGUGCCUGCUCUUCCUACCUUAGAAAGAUUAUUCCUGUUUUUUGUUGGUAACUGGCAUGUCCAGGUCACAGACAUCUGUGUUUGCUACUUCACAAAUCUGUCUUUCUUCAUCACAGUUCCUGGAAAGUGACCUGAGUAGAAGAGAGAGCCCAUAUGGGGGAAGGAAAAAGAAACAGAGAAGAGCUCCUCCGAGGACCACACCUCAGGGGCUGAACUUCCUCAGAGUCUUGCUGCUGCUAAGAUCCAGGGAAUAUCUUGCCUUCCAGCCCUCCAGCCCAUGGAGGAAGGCCCUGCAAUGACAGAGCCCCUGGGGAAAGAAUGCCAGGUGCAUCCAGGAACUGGCAGACACAGAGCUCCUGAUGGUCCCAGGGCUUCACUUAGCAUGGUUCCUGUUGCUAAGCAAUGGAAGUGCUGGACCUGUCAUCUAUCAUCUGCUGUCCAGCACUCCAGGGAUGCCCUGUGAAGUUCAAAUCUUCCAUGAACCAUCUCUCUCCCAAAGGCGUCUGGUCCACAGAAGGAAGCCAGGUCUCCCGGAUGACUGCAUCGUUGUUCCAUGGAGCUUUUAAAAUGCAAGUGUCCUGAAUGGCAGUGGUGCCAGGUGACAGCUGUGGGCACACCUCAUCCUGAAGCGCUGUAGGAACUGACACCAGUGAAUGCCAGAUAUGGGGAAAGGUGUCUGCCCAGUUAUCUCCUAGCUAGUUGAGCCUUCUAUAAAGAAUGUUAUUAAAAAGUCUGCAAGAGGCUGCACGGUGGGUUUCUUCCCUCUUUCCAGAGGAGAGGGUGGUUGAGGAGGAAACAUGCUUUGUCCACAUUCCUUUGUGUAUGGUGGGACUAUCACCGGUGAUGGAGGACCUGUGAGUACUUGGAACCUUAUCGGCCCUCAAACUUCAAUUGGCCCUUGCAUGUCAAUAGCAAGAAUGGUUAUUUCCUGGGGUUGGGGAUUUAGCUCAGUGGUAGAGCGCUUGCCUAGCAAGCGCAAGGCCCUGGGUUCGGUCCCCAGCUCCGAGAAAAAAAAGAAAAAAGAAAAGAAAAGAAUGGUUAUUUCCACUUUUCCACUCCUUGGCUCAGAGUUUCACUUUUCAAGUAGACAGUUGCACGGAGCCAUAUUGGAUUUGGGCCUAGCCGCUUUUUGACUGCAUGGUUCAAAGUGACUCUGGGCUGUUUGGCCACAGAGACUCACCCCGAAGAUGACUGCCAUAAAUCUUAAGAUUGUUGGAUAAAGCCUCUCCCAUGAAUUUACGGCACAGGAGUAUAACAUUCAAGGGAUGCCUCAGCUCCCUUCAGCAGAUACCUUCCCUCAGCAGAUACCAGUUAUCUCCUCAGUCAACACCCAGUGUCUCCACCACCUGACCUCAUCGCCUGACUUCUUUGCCUCCAGCUAUCACUGCCUAUACCCUCAUCUCCCCCUCCUUCAUAUUUCACAAAGGUCACUCCCCCUACCUGAAAGCCUUAAAAGCUGCAAUGUUCAUCCCAAUAAACGAGACCUUGACAACAGAA